rnacentral:rRNA from 1 species
UGUGAACCACAGGACACAUGUAUAUCGACUCUUUGAACACAAAUGGCGGCUCUCG